ensembl:lncRNA
GCCACAUAACCGGCUAGCAUGACUUCAACGACCUACUUCGUGGUGUUUUAGCAAAACUGACAGCUAGCAUAACAAAGUCACAGCUUGACCUCUGAUUGUUCCAUCAAUGUUAAAAUGUUCAAAUCAAAGGUAAAAAAAAAAAAGGGACGUAUUAUCGUUUCCUCGCACGUUCUGGAGUAUGAAAAGCUGCCUACUUAGGGUGCCUCCUAAGCACACCGAGGCUAUUUUGAAGCGGCCCAUGAUUGUUGUGUUGAUGAAAUUUCCUGAUAUAACUGAUUAUGGUGAUGUUUAUAGUUGAGGGAGAGAAGAAGGUCAUGGAGUAAACGUGGCUGUCUUCUGGAACUUGAUAGAAGAAAGCAUCACACACAUACAUAAACACACACACACACACACACACACAGUGUAAAUGGGCCACAUCCUCAGUGCUGUGUAGGCUGAAACUGGCAGGCGUGCUAAGCUGGCCAAAGCCUCUAAAAGCCUUAACGUUGUCACUACAUAUUUCUGUGUUGGUGACAGGAAGUGACACGGCGCUCGGCCGCCAGGAGCAGGCUGGAGGAUAAACAGAUGCCGCAGCCCGAGGUGGCGUGGAGAUUUCUUCUCUCCUCCGUCGGGAAGGAUGAAAGCGUGCAGAACGAGAGCCAAAGCAAUAAAGAGUAACCUCGCCUGGAGUCGCCUUCCACGAAAGUUCCCCGCACUUUCACAAUAUUGCCCCUAAUGUCCACGCCGUUCAGACGCUUCAGCCAUAUUGCGUUGAACACAGCUCGGGAAAAGGCGGGAUCGCGUGGGAUCUCUGGGGUUUGGCGGAAAUAUGUUUACCCAGUAAUUGAGUCUGAAGGGAACGUGCGCGCCACGGUUCCUCCAUAUUUCUGACAGUUUAGACUUCGCAUUUUUAAAGCACUGCCGUUUCGUUUAGGUGGACUUUUAGACAAAAGGAUUCUGUCUUCAGGCGUUGUUUAGGAGGGUAAUGGUUCUAGCAUUCUAAUCCUUUCUGGAGUCUGAUCAAAAAAAAAAAAAAAGAGCUUUCAUAAGGAUUUAUUUUAACAAGUAGCGGCCAUCGAGAGUUCAACUGCAGAGCAAUGAAGACUGGAUAGAAAAAAGAAUAGCGUUACUUAGCUAAACAAAUAAUUAGCAAAAAGUCUAGACUAGCAUAAUAUGUGCUAGUUAUGUGCUACUAGUUUCAUUAGCAAGGAUUUACUAGUCAUGCUUGACAAAUUAAAUCAGCUAACUAUAGCAAUAGCCACCUAGCCACAGCCCCCUCCCCCACUCUUUACUCUGUGGUAUAGUCCUACAUGUGGUAUACUCCUGGAGUGGAGUUCAUUUAAGGAAGUUUGAGUUGAGUGAAUUUGAAUUAGAGUUUGCCAUCGAGGUCAUCUGAGUUAGAGCUGAGUUCGUUCAUUUAGGGUUCAUUUGAGUCGAGUCAGUCUGAUUUGAGUCCAUUUGAGUUACAGUUGAGUUCAUUUGCGAUCAUUUGAGGUUGGGUUUGUCUGAGUUAAAGCUGAGUUUAACAAAUUCAAGAUGAGUUUAAUUCAUUUGAGUUUGAGUUCGUUUGAGUUACAGAUGAGUUUAAGUCAUUUAAGCUGAGUUGGUUCAUUGGAGUUUGAGUUCAUUUGAGUUAGAGCCGAGUUAGUUUAAGCUGAGUUGAGUUAGAGUUUGAGUUAAUUUGAGCUAGAGCUGAGUUUAAUUCAUUUAAGAUGAGUUGAGUUAGAGUUUGAGUUCAUCUGAGUCAGAGCUGAGUUAAUUUAAGAUGAGUUGAGUUAGAGUUUGAGUUAAUUUGCGCUAGAGCUGAGUUAAUUUAAGCUGAGUUGACUGAGUUGAGUUUGAAGUUCAUUUGAGUCAGAGCUGAGUUAAUUUAAUCUGAGUUGAGUUUGAGUUCAUUUGAGUCAGAGCUGAGUUUAAUUCAUUUAAGCUGAGUUGAGU